rnacentral:ncRNA from 2 species
CCAAUAGCGUAUAUUAAAGUUGUUGCAGUUAAAAAGCUCGUAGUUGAAUUUCGGGGUUAGUAGGUUGGUCAUGCCUCUGGUAUGUACUGGUCUCACUGAUUCCUCCUUCCUGAUGAACCUUAAUGCCAUUAAUUUGGUGUUUUGGGGAAUUUGGACUGUUACUUUGAAAAAAUUAGAGUGUUUAAAGCAAGCUAACGCUUGAAUACAUUAGCAUGGAUUAAUGAAAUAGGACGUUCGAUCCUAUUUUGUUGGUUUCUAGGAUUGACGUAAUGAUUAAUAGGGAUAGUUGGGGGCAUUAGUAUUCAAUUGUCAGAGGUGAAAUUCUUGGAUUUAUUGAAGACUAACUACUGCGAAAGCAUUUGCCAAGGAUGUUUUCAUUAAUCAAGAACGAAAGUUAGGGGAUCGAAGACGAUCAGAUACCGUCGUAGUCUUAACCAUAAACUAUGCCGACUAGGGAUCGGAUGAUGUUAAUUUUUUAAUGACUCAUUCGGCGCCUUACG